rnacentral:rRNA from 1 species
ACUAGCAUAUCAAUAAGCGGAGGAAAAGAAACCAACUGGGAUUGCCUUAGUAACGGCGAGUGAAGCGGCAAUAGCUCAAAUUUGAAAGCUGGCCCCUUUGGGGUCCGCGUUGUAAUUUGUAGAGGAUGAUUCGGCGAGGGCUCCCGUCUAAGUCCCCUGGAACGGGGCGUCAUAGAGGGUGAGAAUCCCGUAUGUGAUGGGUUGCCUUAGCCAUGUGAAUCUCCUUCGACGAGUCGAGUUGUUUGGGAAUGCAGCUCUAAAUGGGAGGUAAAUUUCUUCUAAAGCUAAAUACCGGCCAGAGACCGAUAGCGCACAAGUAGAGUGAUCGAAAGAUGAAAAGCACUUUGGAAAGAGAGUUAAAAAGUACGUGAAAUUGUUGAAAGGGAAGCGCUUGCAGCCAGACUUGUCCGCAGUUGCUCAGCCGGUCUCCUGACCGGCGUACUCUUCUGCGGCCAGGCCAGCAUCAGUUCGGGCGGUCGGAUAAAGACCUCGGGAAUGUAGCUCCUCUCGGGGAGUGUUAUAGCCCGGGGUGGAAUGCGGCCAGCCUGGACUGAGGAUCUCGCUUCGGCUAGGAUGCUGGCGUAAUGGCUGUAAGCGGCCCGUCUUGAAACACGGACCAAGGAGUCUAACAUCUAUGCGAGUGUUUGGGUGUCAAACCCAUACGCGUAAUGAAAGUGAACGGAGGUGGGAACCCUCACGGGUGCACCAUCGACCGAUCCUGAUGUCUUCGGAUGGAUUUGAGUAUGAGCAUAGCUGUUGGGACCCGAAAGAUGGUGAACUAUGCCUGAAUAGGGUGAAGCCAGAGGAAACUCUGGUGGAGGCUCGCAGCGGUUCUGACGUGCAAAUCGAUCGUCAAAUUUGGGUAUAGGGGCGAAAGACUAAUCGAACCAUCUAGUAGCUGGUUCCUGCGAGCUCU